rnacentral:rRNA from 1 species
GACGAACGCUGGCGGCGUGCUUAACACAUGCAAGUCGAACGGAAAGGCCCCUUUGGGGGUACUCGAGUGGCGCACGGGUGAGUAACACGUGAGUAACCUGCCCUUGACUUCGGGAUAACUUCAGGAAACUGGGGCUAAUACCGGAUAGGAAUCCUUGCUGCAUGGUGGGGGUUGGAAAGCUUCGGCGGUUUUGGAUGGACUCGCGGCUUAUCAGCUUGUUGGUGGGGUAGUGGCUUACCAAGGCUUUGACGGGUAGCCGGCCUGAGAGGGCGACCGGCCACAUUGGGGCUGAGGGGCGGCCCAGGCGGCGACGGGAGGCAGCAGGGGGGAAGAGUGCACGAUGGGCGGGGGGCGGGUGCAGCAGGGCCGCGGGCGGGAGGGCGGGCUUGGGGUUGUGAACCGCUUUCAGCAGGGGCGAAGGUUGUGGUGACGGUACCUGCAGAAGAAGCACCGGCUAACUACGUG